rnacentral:piRNA from 1 species
UCCCAUCUGCCUAUAUGUUUGCUACCCCC